UACGUAGGGGGCAAGCGUUAUCCGGAUUUACUGGGUGUAAAGGGAGCGUAGACGGCUUUGCAAGCCAGAUGUGAAAGCCCGGGGCUCAACCCCGGGACUGCAUUUGGAACUGUGUGGCUAGAGUGUCGGAGAGGCAGGCGGAAUUCCUAGUGUAGCGGUGAAAUGCGUAGAUAUUAGGAGGAACACCAGUGGCGAAGGCGGCCUGCUGGACGAUGACUGACGUUGAGGCUCGAAGGCGUGGGGAGCAAACAGG
rnacentral:rRNA from 1 species